rnacentral:lncRNA from 1 species
UCGGCCUGCAUGGCUGCAUGUCUGAUAAGAGUGGAAACAUAGUGCCUUUAGCUAAAUCGUAGAAUGUUAAAUCUGAUGCUACUGAAUAUGGUGAGUGAUUCAUAUACACGGUCUUCACGAAUAUAUAGUUGUUAAUUACAGGAGAAGUUGCAAUAUGAAGUUAAUUUGAAAUUUAUAUUUCUCACCUCGAAUAAUUUCUGGUAAAUCGCUGAUUCGAUAAGGUCAAACUUUCUUUAUGAUCAUCAUCUUCUUCUUGGUCUUCGCCUUCCGAUGUUCCUAUUUCUGAUGUUUCUCCACAUUUUCUUCCUCUUUUAAUAACUUUCGUUGAAGAUUUUGACAGAAAUAUCAUUGUGAGAAGAGUAUUUCUAAAGUUUACAACUUGGAAAUGAG